CCUACGGGCGGCUGCAGUGGGGAAUAUUGGACAAUGGGCGCAAGCCUGAUCCAGCAAUGCCGCGUGUGUGAAGAAGGCCUGCGGGUUGUAAAGCACUUUUGUUCGGGAAGAAAUCAUGCUGGUUAAUACCUGGUAUGGAUGACGGUACCGAAAGAAUAAGCACCGGCUAACUUCGUGCCAGCAGCCGCGGUAAUACGAAGGGUGCAAGCGUUAAUCGGAAUUACUGGGCGUAAAGGGUGCGUAGGCGGCCUUUUAAGUCGGAUGUGAAAUCCCCGGGCUCAACCUGGGAAUGGCAUUCGAUACUGGGAGGCUAGAGUUUGGGAGAGGAUGGUGGAAUUCCCGGUGUAGCGGUGAAAUGCGUAGAGAUCGGGAGGAACAUCAGUGGCGAAGGCGGCCACCUGGCCUAAAACUGACGCUGAGGCACGAAAGCGUGGGGAGCAAACAGGAUUAGAUACCCCAGUAGUC
rnacentral:rRNA from 1 species